GUCGGGCGUUGGGUUUCGCGGCGCUCGCCGCAUUGGUUGUUCAGUACCUUCUGUCCGGUUGAGGUUGUCAAGUCGGACCAAAUAGGUUGUUUCUUUGCAGUUUCCAACAUGGCAGGGAAGUUUAAUAGACAUGGAUAAGAAGUCUGCUCCCAGAAAUCCUGAAGAUGCCAAGGCUGGCAAAUAUGAAGGUAAACACAAACGAAAGAAAAAAAGAAAGCAAAACCAAAACCACCACCGAUCCCGACAUAGAUCAGUGACAUCUUUUUCUUCAGAUGAUCGUAUGUUUCCUUCUUCCUCAUCAUCAUCUUCAGGAAGCCAGACGGAUUCGAGUAUUGAAGAUGCUACCAAGGGAAAAAUUAAGAAGAAGAGAAGAGAGAAAACAAAUAAAUGGAGGGAAAAAAGAAAGAGUCUUAUCCUGUUGCCCAGGCUGGAGUGCAAUGAUGCGAUCUCGGCUCACUGCAACCUCCACCUCCCGGAUUCAAGCAAUUCUCCUGCCACAGCCUCCCAAGUAGCUAGGACUACACGCAUGUGCCACCACACCUGGCUAAUUUUCGUAUUUUUAGUAGAGACAGGGUUUCACCAUGUUGGCCAGGCUGGUCUCAAACUCCUGACCUCAUGUGAUCCACCCACUUUAGCCUCCCAAAGUGCUGGGAUUACAGGCAUGAGCCACCGUGCCCAGCCUCUUUUAGUUAUUUUAAAAUGUACAAUAAAUUAUUGUUGACUGUGAUCACCCUGUUGUGCUAUAAAAUACGAAAUCUUAUACAUUCUAGCUAUAGCUAUUUUUAUACUCAUUAAUCAUCCUCCUUUCCCCGCCUUCAACUACCCUUCUAAGCCUCUGGUAACGAUCAUUCUGCUAUCACCAUGAGUUUAUUUUUUUUCAUUUUUAGCUCCCACAAAUAAGUGACAACAUGCGAAUUUUGUCUUUCUGUGCCUGGCUUUUGUCACUUAACAAUGACCUCCAUUUCCAUCCAUCCCUUGUUGCAAAUGACAGGAUCUCUUUUUUUUUUUUUAGC
rnacentral:lncRNA from 1 species